UAACAGGCCUUCGGGCGCUGACAAGUGGCGGACGGGUGAGUAACGCGUAGGAAUCUGCCUUAUAGUGGGGGACAACUUGGGGAAACUCAAGCUAAUACCGCAUACGCCCUACGGGGGAAAGCGGGGGAUCUUCGGACCUCGCGCUAUGAGAUGAGCCUGCGUUAGAUUAGCUAGUUGGUGGGGUAAGGGCCUACCAAGGCGACGAUCUAUAGCUGGUCUGAGAGGACGAUCAGCCACACUGGGACUGAGACACGGCCCAUACUCCUACGGGAGGCAGCAGUGGGACUCCUACUGGAGGCAGCAGUGGGACUCCUACGGGAGGCAGCAGUGGGACUCCUACGGGAGGCAGCAGUG
rnacentral:sRNA from 1 species